UACGAAGGGGGCUAGCGUUGCUCGGAAUCACUGGGCGUAAAGGGCGCGUAGGCGGGCUCUUAAGUCAGGGGUGAAAGCCCAAGGCUCAACCUUGGAAUUGCCUUUGAUACUGAGGGCCUUGAGACCGGAAGAGGUCGGCGGAACUGCGAGUGUAGAGGUGAAAUUCGUAGAUAUUCGCAAGAACACCAGUGGCGAAGGCGGCAUCCUGGACCGGCAUUGACGCUGAGGCGCGAAAGCUAGGGGAGCAAACGGG
rnacentral:rRNA from 1 species